UUAGUCUCAGUUCGGAUUGUAGGCUGAAACUCGCCUACAUGAAGCUGGAGUUGCUAGUAAUCGCGGAUCAGCACGCCGCGGUGAAUACGUUCCCGGGCCUUGUACACACCGCCCGUCACACCAUGGAAGUCUGCAAUGCCCGAAGCCGGUGGCCUAACCACUUAUGUGGAAGGAGCCGUCUAAGGCAGGGCAGAUGACUGGGGUGAAGUCGUAACAAGGUAUC
rnacentral:rRNA from 1 species